rnacentral:misc_RNA from 1 species
UAGCCUUAGGAGAACCUGCGGCUGGAUCACCUCCUUUCUAAGGAGUCGACAUGAAAACGCAGUUUUCAUGAAGGUUCAUUCUUAUCUCUGUUUAAUUUUGGGAAUUCAAUAUUCUCUAUUGUACUUUGAAAAUUGCAUAGUAAGUAAAGUUAUUUUUAAAUUAAGUUAAGGCAAAGUCUAACUUUGUAAUUGAUUUAAUAUGAUAUAUUUUUUCGAAUAUAUUCUUUAAAGGUCAAGCUACAAAGGGCACAUGGUGAAUGUCUUGGCACCAGAAGUCGAAGAAGGACGCGAUAAGCUGCGAUAAGCUUCGGGUAGGCGCAAAUAGCCUGUGAUCCGGAGAUUUCCGAAUGGGGAAACCCUCAUGAUUAACAUCAUGAACUGUAUGCUGAAUUCAUAGGUAUACAGGGGCACACCCGGG